CCCCACUACUCUUCAAUGAUUCAGCCCAAGUGCCUCUGGCCCCGGGACGCGCCUUUGGGCUAUCUCGUGUCCACACUGAAGGCAGAAGACAAAGGACUCCAAAGCUGAGCUGAUUUACACUCUCCUCCGGAGUGACAGGGGUCCCGGGGUAGUGGCGCUGCAGCCAAUUACAGAUGAGCUGUCCUUGCAGCUCUGCCUGUCCCCGCAGCCCUCUGGCCCCCUGACAGUGGUCAUCAUGGUGCGGGACAGGUUGGCCUACCCUGCCUUGCAUUGCCACACUGCUUCUCGUGCCCGCGGGCCCAGUGCCACCUGGCGGUAAAGUAGUGCUGGUGCCUACGCCACCGCCAAGGGAGCCAGGAAAGGGACCGGAAGUGAGAAGCACAGAGCAGGCAGACUGAGGCAGCAGCCUGACCUUUCUGUAGUCUGGGUCGGUGUCUUGGCCAGAGGCUGAAACCUUCUGCCAGUAGCCAUUGUUAGUGUGACUUGUUUCUGCCAGGGCAAGGCUAGGUCGCAGAGGAAGAAGCUUUGUGAGCGCUAGCCAAGUGGGUAUCAGGCGAGGACUGACCAAGCUGCUCCAAGUCAGAGAAAUUUAAGAGCUAAUCCUGAGGACUUCAACUGGACAUUCUUCAUGGAGUCACCGCUGUUCUCCAUUUCUGCAGAGAUCCUGAAUAUCUUUGUGUCCCUCUCCUCAGGAGAGGACUGGGAUCCCACUUGCCCAGGGCUCAAUCUCAGUUCUUUCUCAUUCCCCAUCCUUUCCUAGAGAGGAUAAAUCUGCUGCAAGUUUAAGAUGAAUUUAGUGUGAAGGACAGUGGAAAAGGAGACAGUGAAUUGAACGACAGCAUUUCUGAUAUCAGCAGAGAGGGCUUCAAAAAAGCAUCCUAUCAAAUGACUGCAAAGCAAAUUGAGUAUUCAAAACAAGAAACAUUUAAGGAUCCUGAAAGAUUAAACCAUGUAUUCCAAACAAGCAAGUAUCUUUUACCAUGAAAAUACCUGCAGGAUUGAACUUUCUUCAAAGACCCUGGUCUCUCAGAUUCCCCAGCUGAGAAGUAUGAAUUUCCAACCAGAG
ensembl:lncRNA